rnacentral:rRNA from 1 species
AGAGUAGGCGGGAAAAUAAGUUAGAAGUUUAAUAUAUAGGCUUAACCUAUAAGCUGCUUCUAAUACUGUUUUUCUUGAGUAUUGGAGAGGGAGAUGGAAUUCCAGGUGUAGCGGUGGAAUGCGUAGAUAUCUGGAAGAACACCAGUUGCGAAGGCGGUCUCCUGGCCAAAUACUGACGCUGAUGCUCGAAAGCUAGGGGAGCAAACAGGAUUAGAUACCCUGGUAGUCCUAGCCGUAAACGAUGGACACUAGAUGCUGGAGGAGUCAAUCCUUUCGGUGUCGUAGCUAACGUGUUAAGUGUCCCGCCUGGGGAGUACGCUCGCAAGGGUGAA